ensembl:lncRNA
AAUAAAAAAACUUUUGGAGUUGGGGGGGGAAAAAAUGAGUUUCCCUGACCGGGAAUCGAACCCGGGCCGCGGCGGUGAGAGCGCCGAAUCCUAACCACUAGACCACCAGGGAAGGGCUGGUGAGACCCUUCCGGCGCGGCCCCACGCGUGACCCCGUCGCGGGGGGACCCCAGCCCACGGGGGGGGGGGGCGGUUUGUCCCCCCCGUCAGCCGGGACCCCCCCAAAAGCAGCGUGUCCCCACCCCGUUUUCUCGUCGUAACCCACCCGUGCUUUCUGCCCACGCGCGGGUGCAAAGGGCUGGGCGGGGAAACGGGAACAGGAGCAAGUUUUAGCGCCGGAAAAAAUAAAAAAAUAAAAAAAAAGGGGGGGAAAACCGCCCUUUUUUUCCCCAAAUCGCGUGCAGGAGCUCUCGAAAAUUAUUAAGAUCGCAAAGGGAAAAGGUGUGUCAGAAGUGGGAUUUGAACCCACGCCUCCAUUCGGAGACCAGAAAACCCCAGGGAGGGAAAGCAGAGCCUUGAGUCUGGCGCCUUAGACCACUCGGCCAUCCUGACACCUGCGUGAGCCUUCCUCCCCCUCCUCAUCCUCAAGAAUUAACUUUCAAAAAGAGCAAGCGGGUCUGGAGGGGAGGUUUUUUGGGGCUUUUCUUGAGAUUAAGCCGUGUAAAUGCAUAUAUAUUAUAUGUAUUUUAGAUAUAUGUGUGUGUUUUUAUACAUUUCUGUAUUUUCUUUGCCCUAAUUGCGGGUUUUCCUGGCUCAGCUCUUUAUGCAAAUUACGCAUAAUGUCACAGGAGCCCUGUCUCACCCAGCCAACCCCGGGCUGCGGUGUCGAGCCCUCAUUUGCCUAUGCCCACCCCUAAAAAAGCUCUGGGACACCCCUGCAGCGAGGACCACCGAGGCCAAAGGCGACCCCAUGGCGGCGGCCACCAAGAAACGAGGGCAGCCUCCAAGAAAGAGGAGGAGGAGGAAGCAGGAAACCCAGCAGACAAAGCCUCCCCUUAACCAGAGAAGGUCGAGGCGCUGGAAACCAGUUCCCAAGGGAUUCAAUUCCCGGUUGAAGAAGAAAUCCAGCAAGAGGGGCUGGUCUUCUUGCACGAGUUGAAUAACGCCUCUCGCCACGACGCCUUGCCUCUUCUCCCUCGUUUCAAGCCCAGGGAAAAGAAGAAAGAAAAAGAGGGAAGGAGAAGAAGAAAAAAAAAAAUAAAUAAAUUCAGAGCUUUUCCCCA